rnacentral:rRNA from 1 species
CCUACGGGCGGCAGCAGUGAGGAAUAUUGGUCAAUGGGCUUACGCCUGAACCAGCGAAGUCGCGUGAGGGAAGACUGCCCUAUGGGUUGUAAACCUCUUUUGUCAGGGAGCAACGCCGGCUACGUGUAGCCGGACUGAGAGUACCUGAAGAAAAAGCAUCGGCUAACUCCGUGCCAGCAGCCGCGGUAAUACGGAGGAUGCGAGCGUUAUCCGGAUUGAUUGGGUUGGAGGGGUGCGUAGGCGGAAUGCCAAGUCAGCGGUAAAAUCGCGGGGCUCAACCUCGCUCCGCCGUUGAAACUGGCGUUCUUGAGUGGGCGAGAAGUAUGCGGAAUGCGUGGUGUAGCGGUGAAAUGCAUAGAUAUCACGCAGAACUCCGAUUGCGAAGGCAGCAUACCGGCGCCCAACUGACGCUGAAGCACGAAAGCGUGGGUAUCGAACAGGAUUAGAUACCCUAGUAGUC